rnacentral:rRNA from 1 species
UACAGAGGCCUCGAGCGUUAGGCGGAAUCACUGGGCUUAAAGCGUGUGUAGGCGGACUUCUAAGUACCUUGUGAAAUCCCACGGCUCACCCGUGGAACUGCUCGGUAUACUGGUCGUCUUGAGCCUUCUAGGGGCGAGUGGAACAAAUGGUGGAGCGGUGAAAUGCGUAGAGAUCCGGAAGAACACCGGUGGCGAAGGCGGUCUGCUGGGGUAAUGCUGACACUGAUGCGCGACAGCGUGGGGAGCAAACAGG